UCGGACUAGGAUAUAGCUGGUUUUCUGCGAAAUUUGUUUUAGCAAAUUGUUUAUUUUUAUUAUUAAUAGGUAUAGCACUGAAUAUCUCGUUUUAGAAAUAAAAUAAAGAAGGAGUAUGAUAAAUACUUAUUUCGGAAAUUUAAUCUCAGAAUGAUUAAUAAGAUAAGAUAAAUAAUCGGACUUUUUGCGAUAAGGUAUAAAGUCUAAAGGGAAACAGCCCAGAACAGUUGUUAAAGCUCCUAAAUCAUUAUUAAGUGAAAUAAAAGAAGUGAUUUUACUAUGACAAUCAAGAAGUGGGCUUGGAAACAGCCA
rnacentral:rRNA from 1 species